rnacentral:rRNA from 2 species
GCCACGGUGAAUACGUUCCCGGGCCUUGUACACACCGCCCGUCACACCAUGGGAGUGGGUUGCAAAAGAAGUAGGUAGCUUAACCUUCGGGAGGGCGCUUACCACUUUGUGAUUCAUGACUGGGGUGAAGUCGUAACAAGGUAACCGUAGGGGAACCUGCGGUUGGAUCACCUCCUUACCUUAAAGAAGC